AUGUCUGAGCAGCUUGAUGAUGAGGGAAGCAUGGAAACGGCUAGGGCCGGUGGUGAGGACCUCCUCAGCGCCCUCCUUGACGAGCUCCUCCUACACGUGAUGUCGUUCCUGGUUUCCUGCGAGGCCGUGCGGACGUGCGUGCUCGCCAGGCGCUGGCGCACCCUCUGGAAGUCCGUGCCCGCCCUCCGCAUCGACGACCCCGACACCUGCCACGGCACGAAAGGCUCCAGCACGUUUGUGAACAACCUUCUUCGCCUCCGCGACCCGGUGCCUCUGAAUGUGUGUGACAUCAGUUCCCAUAGCUGGGGAAUGGAUUGGUCCGGUAAGACGUUUCGAAGAAUAAUCGAACCGUGGGUCCAGCAUGCUGUGUCUUGCCAAGCUCGGGAGCUUCGAAUCUCCUUUGUCUGCCAUGCGGCCAACAUGGCUCUCGUCUCCUCGCACUUGAAGACGUUGCGGUUCAGCCGCAUGACCUUCUCCGGAGGCUCUCUGGAUUUGUCGAGCUGGCAUGUGCUAGAGGAGUUGGAGAUGUCAGGUUGCGACAUCUUCGUGGAUGCUAUCCUGUGCCUUUCAUUGCAGCAUCUUAACAUCCACGAUGGAUGCUUUGGUAGUGAUUACCGGACUCGUAUUUCUGCCCCUAAUCUCAUUAGCUUGAAGCUGACUGCAAUGGAAGGUCUGAUUCCUUUGCUUGAUGGCAUGCCAUCAUUGGUAACAUCGGUUGUUACGCCUGAAGAGAUCGACGAUGAGUGUGAC
rnacentral:rRNA from 1 species